rnacentral:rRNA from 1 species
GGUGGUGGCUAGACCCAUGAGGUUAAGAGAGUUAAGCGUGCUAGGACGGGAGUAGUCCUAGGAUGGGUGACCCCCUGGGAAGUUGGGGCGUCACAAUAU